rnacentral:lncRNA from 10 species
UUUGUUAAAAGUUACCUGUAAUUAAGAAUGUCAGAAGAACCGAGCCUCCAUUCUAAAGUUUCUGUGGUGAAGUCAUCUGUAUUUCCUAGGAAACUUGAAGAGGAACAAACUGAAACUUGACAAAACUCGGAAGAGACUUACAAGAAUCAGAAGUGCACACAUGGUGCCAUAUUUGGAAGUCAUGAAGAAAAACUGAACAGCAUUACCGAGGAAAAACUUCUUACUCCUAAAUAUGCAACGCUGUCAGUAAGAAGCACAUUAAGGCUAAGGGUUACUAAUAAUAUUUAAAUAAAUGUGGCCAUUAUGCUUCUAGGAAAUUAAAAAAUACCAGUAGUAACUUUUUUAUUUUUUAUUUUUUUGGAGGUGGCGUAUUGCCCUGUCCCCCAGGCUGGAGUGCAGUGGCACAAGCUCGGCUCACUGCAAGCUCCGCCUCCCUGGUUC